UACGGGGUGCAGCAGGCGCGAAACCUUUACACUGCACGACAGUGCGAUAGGGGGAUCCCAAGUGCACAGGCAUAGCGCCUGUGCUUUUCGGUACCCUAAGGCGGUACCAGAAUAAGGGCUGGGCAAGACCGGUGCCAGCCGCCGCGGUAAUACCGGCAGCCCGAGUGAUGGCCGAUCUUAUUGGGCCUAAAGCGUCCGUAGCUGGCCACGCAAGUCCAUCGGGAAAUCCACCUGCCCAACAGGUGGGCGCCCGGUAGAAACUGCGUGGCUUGGGACCGGAAGGCGCGACGGGUACGUCCGGGGUAGGAGUGAAAUCCCGUAAUCCUGGACGGACCGCCGAUGGCGAAAGCACGUCGCGAGAACGGAUCCGACAGUGAGGGACGAAAGCCAGGGUCUCGAACCGGAUUAGAUACCCGGGUAGUCCUGGCCGUAAACAAUGUCUGCUAGGUGUGGCUCCCACUACGAGUGGGUGCUGUGCCGCAGGGAAGCCGCUAAGCAGACCGCCUGGGAAGUA
rnacentral:rRNA from 1 species